rnacentral:rRNA from 1 species
UACGUAGGGUGCGAGCGUUGUCCGGAAUUAUUGGGCGUAAAGGGCUCGUAGGCGGUUUGUUGCGUCAGGAGUGAAAACUCGGGGCUUAACCCCGAGCCUGCUUCUGAUACGGGGCAGACUAGAGGUAUGCAGGGGGAGAACGGAAUUCCUGGUGUAGCGGUGAAAUGCGCAGAUAUCAGGAGGAACACCGGUGGCGAAGGCGGUUCUCUGGGCAUUACCUGACGUGAGGAGCGAAAGUGUGGGGGAGCGAACAGG